GACACUGAAAAUCAGUAGAAGAAAUACGCCACAUUUAUUCUACCGGGGAAGACAGUGGGAAGCCUGAAACUGCCAUUGAGCAGAAGGAAAACAUCCCUUUCCAGAACCUUUCUCGUUUUUCUAAAAAUCUGCACUUUUGGAAGUGAUCCCCCGAAGAGACCUCCAGACUCUACCAUGAGUGUCUCCAGCUGAACUCAUCAUGUCUAAUCCUCACCCUAGCUUAUCCUGUUCAAAUCGUUUCCAUCUUUUUCUGGAUGAACCUGGGCGGAUGUCAGACCAGAGAAGAGCACAGAAUGUACCAGAGAGAGUCUUGCUCUGUCACCCAGGCUGAAGUGCACCCAGGCUGAAGUUGGAGGCUAUGGUGAGCUGCACCACUGCACCACUAUGGGAGGCCGAGGCGAGCGGAUUGCCUGAGCUCAGGAGUUUGAGACCAGCCAGGGCAACGCUGUGAAACCCCAUCUCUACUAAAACACAAAAAAUUAGCCAGGCCUGGCGGCGUGUGCCUAUAGUCCCAGCUACUCAGGAGGCUGAGGCAGGAGAAUUGCUUGAACCCGGGAGGCAGAGGUUGCAGUGAGCCGAGAUUGCACCACUGCACUCCAGCCUAGGUGACAGAGUGAGACUCCGUCUCCAAAAAAAAAAAAAAAAAAAAAAAAUAUAUAUAUAUAUAUAUAUAUAUAUAUAAGGUGAAGGCCAAGCAGGGUGGCACAUACCUGUUGUCUCACCUACUCAAAAGGCUGAGACCAGAGAAGGAUUGCUGGAAGUGAGUUCAAAGCCAGCCUAGAGAAUA
rnacentral:sRNA from 1 species